rnacentral:rRNA from 1 species
UACGUAGGGCGCAAGCGUUGUCCGGAAUUAUUGGGCGUAAAGAGCUCGUAGGCGGUUUGUCGCGUCUGCUGUGAAAACCUAAGGCUCAACCUUGGGCUUGCAGUGGGUACGGGCAGACUAGAGUGCGGGUAGGGGUGACUGGAAUUCCUGGUGUAGCGGUGGAAUGCGCAGAUAUCGGGAAGAACACCCGUGGCGAAGGCGGCUCUCUGGGCAUUACCUGACGCUGAGGAGCGAAAGUGUGGGGAGCGAACAGG